CAAGUUCCUUGACAUCCAUUCAAGGUGCGAGACAGAAUCACGUUUCUUUUUUUUCCCCGUCCCGGUAAUCUCUGCUGUGUACGCAAAGAUUAAACUUUUGAGAUGAAAUUUUGUCACCUCUCCUAACCAUGCAGCCACUCUGUCGAGGGACCUGUGAAAAUGACGUCCACUAAACCAUCAAACCUCGUACUAGUGAAUUUUCUAAGCAUUUGGUGGGAAGCAACGAUCUAAAAGAACCACCCCAGAUUUGCUAA